rnacentral:rRNA from 1 species
GUAGGGGGCGAGCGUUAUCCGGAAUUAUUGGGCGUAAAGCGCGUGUAGGCGGCUUGGUAGGUUGGACGUGAAAGCUCCUGGCUCAACUGGGAGAGGUCGUUCAAAACCGCCAGGCUUGAGGACGGAAGAGGGGAGUGGAAUUCCCGGUGUAGUGGUGGAAUGCGUAGAUAUCGGGAGGAACACCCGUGGCGAGGGCGACUCCCUGGUCCGUUUCUGACGCUCAGACGCGAAAGCGUGGGUAGCGAACGGGAUUAGAUACCCCGGUAGUCCACGCCGUAAACGAUGGAUGCUAGGUGUAGGAGGUCUUGACCCCCUUCUGUGCCCGUAGCUAACGCGUUAAGCAUCCCGCCUGGGGACUACGACCGCAAGGUUA